rnacentral:misc_RNA from 1 species
CUUCAUUUAGAGGAAGUAAAAGUCGUAACAAGGUUUCCGUAGGUGAACCUGCGGAAGGAUCAUUAUCGUGGAGCUUCGGCUCCUUCGAGGGAGAACCCUUGCCUUUUCGAGCACCUGUUUGUUUCCUCGGCAGGCCCGCCUGCCAACGGGGACCAUUUAAACUCUUGCAAUCAACCUGAACAAAAUCGUCUGAACAAAAAAAACUAAAUCAAAACUUUCAACAACGGAUCUCUUGGUUCUG